rnacentral:rRNA from 1 species
AUUGAACGCUGGCGGCAGGCCUAACACAUGCAAGUCGAACGAGUGGCGGACGGGUGAGUAAUGUCUGGGAAUCUACCUUAUGGAGGGGGAUAACUUAUGGAAACUGUCGCUAAUACCGCAUACGAUCAAAUGUGCCGAGAUGGGAUUAGCUAGUGGGGGGGGUAACGGCUCACCAAGGCGACGAUCCCUAGCUGGUCUGAGAGGAUGACCAGCCACACUGGAACGGAGACACGGUCCAGACUCCUACGGGAGGCAGCAGUGGGGAAUAUUGCACAAUGGGCGCAAGCCUGAUGCAGCCAUGCCGCGUGUAUGAAGAAGGCCUUCGGGUUGUAAAGUCCUUUUAGUGGGGAAGCGGUACCCGAAGAAGAAGCACCGGCUAACUUCGUGCCAGCAGCCGCGGUAAUUC